CUCUUCUUGUCACCUACAGGUAAUUACAAUUGACUACAACCAACAACAUAUUCUGCUGCACUAUAUCUAUAUACGCAAAACUAAUUCUGCUGGGUAAUUACAAUUGACUACAACCAUCAACAUAUUCUGCUGCACUAUAUCUAUAUAUGCAAAGCUAAUUCUGCUGGGUAAUUACAAUUGACUACAACCAUCAACAUAUUCUGCUGCACUAUAACU